UAGGGAAUCUUCCGCAAUGGGCGAAAGCCUGACGGAGCAACGCCGCGUGAGUGAAGAAGGAUUUCGGUUCGUAAAGCUCUGUUGUUAGGGAAGAAUGAUUGUGUAGUAACUAUACACAGUAGAGACGGUACCUAACCAGAAAGCCACGGCUAACUACGUGCCAGCAGCCGCGGUAAUACGUAGGUGGCAAGCGUUGUCCGGAAUUAUUGGGCGUAAAGCGCGCGCAGGUGGUUUAAUAAGUCUGAUGUGAAAGCCCACGGCUCAACCGUGGAGGGUCAUUGGAAACUGUUAAACUUGAGUGCAGGAGAGAAAAGUGGAAUUCCUAGUGUAGCGGUGAAAUGCGUAGAGAUUAGGAGGAACACCAGUGGCGAAGGCGGCUUUUUGGCCUGUAACUGACACUGAGGCGCGAAAGCGUGGGGAGCAAACA
rnacentral:rRNA from 1 species